rnacentral:rRNA from 1 species
UUAGAGUUUGAUCCUGGCUCAGGAUGAACGCUAGCGGUAGGCCUAACACAUGCAAGUCGAGGGGUAACGAGUUUAGCUUGCUAAAUGUCCACGACCGGCGCACGGGUGCGUAACGCGUAUACAAUCUACCUUACACAGAGGGAUAGCCCACAGAAAUUUGGAUUAAUACCUCAUGGCAUUAUUAGCUCGCAUGGGCUUGAUAAUUAAAACUUCUUGUGGUGUAAGAUGAGUAUGCGUCCCAUUAAAUAGUUAGGAGAGGUAACGGCUCACCAAGUCAACGAUGGGUAGGGGGCCUGAGAGGGUUGUCCCCCACACUGGUACUGAGACACCGACCAGACUCCUACGGGAGGCAGCAGUGAGGAAGAUUGGUCAAUGGAGGGAACUCUGAACCACCCAUACCGCGUGCAGGAAGAAUGCCCUAUGGGUUGUAAACAGCUUUUAUUUGGGAAGAACCCUGAUUACUUGUAAUCAGCUGACGGUACCGGACCAAUGAUGACCGGCUAACUCCGUGACAACAGCCGCGGGAAUACUGAGGGUCCAAGCGUUAUCCAGAAUUAUUGUGUUUAAAGGGUCCGCAGGCGGCAUUAUCAGUCAGUGGUGAAAUCUCGAUGCUCAACAUCGAAACUGCCACUGAU